rnacentral:rRNA from 1 species
CGCGCAGGCGGCUCUUCAAGUCAGGCGUGAAAGCCCCGGGCUUAACCUGGGAAUUGCGCUUGGGACUGAGGAGCUAGAGUUCGGGAGAGGAGAGUGGAAUUCCCAGUGUAGAGGUGAAAUUCGUAGAUAUUGGGAAGAACACCGGUGGCGAAGGCGGCUCUCUGGACCGAUACUGACGCUGAGGCGCGAAAGCGUGGGGAGCAAACAGGAUUAGAUACCCUGGUAGUCCACGCUGUAAACGAUGUGCGCUAGACGUUGGAGGGCGUAGCUCUCCGGUGUCGCAGCUAACGCGUUAAGCGCACCGCCUGGGGAGUACGGCCGCAAGGUUAAA